rnacentral:lncRNA from 1 species
UUUCUUUGCAGCAAUACGUUAAGGCGGCGGGAUUCAAUAUUUGUUGACAUUUCAUCAUUUAUGUCACAAAGCUCGCUUGCAAGUAUUAGCCUUUGGAAGUUAUAUUCUUCACAAGUAAAUAUAAUAUGUUCUGGUGUUCCUGGAAACUUUCGACAAGCAGUGCAUGUCGCAUCUUCAAUUAUGUUGAAUCUAUUCAAAUGAGCGGGUGCGGUGUUAUGCCCAAACCUGAGUCUGUUCAGUGUUGUAAUGAAGUCUCUACUCGCAAUCUUUAGCUGAUAAUACCAGGGUUUUCUAGGAGUAUUUGGGAAAGUUCUGGAUAUUGAUGGCAAAGAAGAUCCUCACCGGUUAUCUCAGGAGCACUAGAUUGAACAGGAUCGGAGACAAGUGAAACAAAGCUGUCUGCACAACUUCGCCCUCGUCUGAAGCCAUAUUGAACAUUUGGCAGUAUGCCAUUGUGUUCAACAAACCAGUCAAGCCGAGUUUUUAUCAUGUUCUCAAAUAUUUUACCUAGACAAGAAGAUAAUGAAAUAGGUCGAUAGGAAUUAGCAUUAUCAGGAGGCUUAUCUGUCUUUAAAAUAGGUAUUACACAUUGAGUUUUCCAAGACUCAGGAAUAAUCUGUUCAACCCAUAAGUUAUUAAGAAUGUCUAAGAAAAGCUUUUGGACUGACUGAUGAAGUUUUUUAAUUAAAAUAUAAGGAAAACCAUCUAAUCCAGGAGUUGUAUCUUUACGUGAAUUUAAAGAUGCAGAAAAUUCCUGAAAUGAAAACUUUUCUAAGAGAAAUUUCGUAUUUUCAUUAUCGUUAUGAAUAUUGAAAUAAUUUUCUAAGUUAGGGACCUCUAAGCCCUUAUCUGACAAUUUAUCUAAAAAGGAAUUAAUGAAUGUAUCAGAAUAUGACUUAUUAUUAAUCUUUCUACUGUGUUUAAACAUUUUAAUUUGAUUCCAAAUUUUGCUAAUGGGAGUUGUCCUAUUGAAACUAUUACAUAAAUUAUUCCAUCCAUUUUUCCUUUCCUCAGCAAUUGUCUUUUUCUUUACUGCAUCUAACCUCUUGUAAUUAAUGAAAUUUUCAAUAGCAGGAUUCUUCCUAUAAUAUUUUAGUGCCUCAUAGGAAUUAAUAACACUUUGUUUACACUUAUCAUUCCACCAUGGUACAGGAAGUUUACUUUUAUAAUUAGAUGUUCGAACAAACUUAGGAAUGCAUGUAUCUUUUAACAGGUUAAGUUUAUCACAGAAAAGAUUAUAUACUUGUAAAGGGUCUUUAUCAACCAUAUUUACAUUACUAAAAAAGUCUUUUGAAAGCUCACAAUACUGCUUCCAAUCUGUCUUAUUAUAUAGAUAUUUAUCUGUGGGAGGAUUUACUUUGUAUUUAUCUACACUCAGUAAUAUAGAAGUAAUUGUUGGAAAAUGGUAACUACCCAUAUUAUUAUCAUAAACCGACCAUUCACAAAGUGGAGCAAUACAAGGACUGACAAAAGUAACAUCUAUAGCAGAUGGAUUACGAUUUGGAUAUUGAAUAGUUGUAUAAUUACCAUCAUUAAGUAUACAUAAAUUAGAGUCAUCAAUAAUGUCAUAAAGUUGCUGUCCACGACCUUUUGUAGAUACACAGCCAAAGGCAAUAUGAUGUGCAUUAAAAUCACCACUAAUAAAAACAGGAGAAGGUAAUGAAUUAAUUAUAUUUCGUAAUCUGUUAAUUCUAAUGUGCCCACUUGUAGGAGGGGAAUAAACACACAAAAUGGAAAGUGUACCAUGUUCUGUAGUUAACAAUAUAGCUAUGCUUUGUAAAUCUUCAUAAAAUUGAGUAUCUAACUGUGUAUACUUUAAAAAAGGACGGAUUAGUAUUGCUACACCCCCAUGGUUAUUAAUUGCAUUACGGAAAUGUAAAUUGUAUCCAGGAAUAUUAAAUAAUCUAUUGUUUUUAAACCAUGUUUCAUUUAGAAGACAGAUAUCAAUAUUUUCAUUUGCUAAAAAAUCUAUUAAUAAGGGCUUUUUAUUAUAUGCGCUUUGUAUAUUGAACUGUGCUAUUCUUAACUGUGACUGUGAUAAGGUGCUAUUUAUAUCCAUAAGCUUAGGAAAGGUAUUUAUGUAACAUAUCGUUAACCGUUUUACUAUUAAUUGGAGUUCCAUCACCCUUAUUGCUAAUUUCAAGUAUAGUGCGAAUAAUUGCUGAGUUUAAAUCUUUAUUAUUUAUUAAUUGCUCUUUUAAAUUAAUUUGAGGAGCUUGUGUAGUGGGAACUACAGGUAAUUUAUUAAUCUUAGAAGUAGAGCUACUAUCUACCUUAUGUGCAGAUGAAGCUGCAGGUUUAUUUACAUUUUGUACAAUUUUAUUUUCAGGUGUGGUUUUAAUUAUAUUAUUAUCUACAACAUA